GUCGGGUCGAAGGGGAAUCAUCAAGACGAAUCAAGCGAAACACCACACACCAAACAUGCAACGCAACGAAGCUAACAGAAAAAAAAUCAACGCCGGCGCUGGAUUCGACGCUGGCAAAGUUAGAUACAGUGCCAAAAACGGCGAACCCAGUCCAGACAAGAACGGUCCGAUAAUCAUCCC